UACGAAGGGUGCAAGCGUUACUCGGAAUUACUGGGCGUAAAGGGCGCGUAGGCGGCCUUCUAAGUCAGACGUGAAAUCCCCCGGCUUAACCUGGGAACUGCGUCUGAUACUGGGAGGCUUGAGUAUGGGAGAGGGAUGUAGAAUUCCAGGUGUAGCGGUGAAAUGCGUAGAUAUCUGGAGGAAUACCGGUGGCGAAGGCGGCAUCCUGGACCAUAACUGACGCUGAGGCGCGAAAGCUAGGGGAGCAAACGGG
rnacentral:rRNA from 1 species